rnacentral:sRNA from 1 species
AUAUAUUUUGUUUGACACGUGUCAACAUCUAAGAUUGAUAAAAUUGUCAUGUGUCAUGAUCUCGCGAGUUAGUAACUUUCAAAACUGUACUUUAUAUAAUAAGAAGAUGGAAAAAAACCCGAAAAAACCUCCAUUUAUUUUCAAUUUGUCCGUUUAAUAUCUGCGUUAUUUAAUUUGUCUGUUUAAUACUUAAGUUAAUUUUAUGUCCUUUAAAA